rnacentral:lncRNA from 1 species
GGUUGAGCUGAUGUGAUGAUGGUGCUGCAAUGAGCGGAGUCUCCAGGGUUGUUAAUAAAUAAUUAACCUGUCUAGAAUAUGUCUUCAUACAUAUGUCUAGCUACUUUCCGCUGCAAGAUGUUGUUGAUGUUAUAGUAUGUUAUGUCAUACUUUGAGUCUUAAGAGAAUGGUUUCAUAUGAUGUAUAACUUGAUUAAUGAUAUUAAUUAAGUUUUAUGC